AGGAUGCAGCAGUGGGGAAUAUUGGUCAAUGGGCGCAAGCCUGAACCAGCCAUCCCGCGUGCAGGAUGACGGCCCUAUGGGUUGUAAACUGCUUUUAUACAGGAAGAAAAAUCUCUACGUGUAGGGACUUGCCGGUACUGUAUGAAUAAGCAUCGGCUAACUCCGUGCCAGCAGCCGCGGUAAUACGGAGGAUGCAAGCGUUAUCCGGAUUCAUUGGGUUUAAAGGGUGCGUAGGCGGCUUUUUAAGUCAGUGGUGAAAUCCUGCCGCUUAACGGUAGAAUUGCCAUUGAUACUGAAGAGCUUGAGUACAAUUGAGGUAAGCGGAAUGUGUAGUGUAGCGGUGAAAUGCUUAGAUAUUACACAGAACACCAAUUGCGAAGGCAGCUUACUAAACUGUUUCUGACGCUGAUGCACGAAAGCGUGGGGAGCGAACAGGAUUAGAUACCCUGGU
rnacentral:rRNA from 1 species